UACGUAGGGACCGAGCGUUGUCCGGAAUCAUUGGGCGUAAAGAGCUCGUAGGCGGUGUGUCGCGUCGGCCGUGAAAACCUGCAGCUUAACUGUGGGCUUGCGGUCGAUACGGGCAUCACUGGAGUUCGGCAGGGGAGACUGGAAUUCCUGGUGUAGCGGUGAAAUGCGCAGAUAUCAGGAGGAACACCGGUGGCGAAGGCGGGUCUCUGGGCCGAUACUGACGCUGAGGAGCGAAAGCGUGGGGAGCGAACAGG
rnacentral:rRNA from 1 species